rnacentral:rRNA from 1 species
CCUACGGGCGGCAGCAGUAGGGAAUCUUCCACAAUGGACGAAAGUCUGAUGGAGCAACGCCGCGUGCGUGAAGAAGGGUUUCGGCUCGUAAAGCUCUGUUGGUAGUGACGAAAUAUCGAGGUAGUAACUCGCCUUUAUUUGACGGUACUUACUUAGAAAGUCACGGCUAACUACGUGCCAGCAGCCGCGGUAAUACGUCGGUGGCAAGCGUUGUCCGGAUUUAUUGGGCGUAAAGCGAGUGCAGGCGGUUCAAUAAGUCUGAUGUGAAAGCCUUCGGCUCAACCGGAGAAUUGCAUCAGAUACUGUUGAACUUGAGUGCAGAAGAGGAGAGUGGAACUCAAGGGGUAGCGGUGGAAUGCGUAGAUAUAUGGAAGAACACCAGUGGCGAAGGCAGCUCUCUGGUCUGCAACUGACGUUGAGGCUCGAAAGCAUGGGUAGCGAACAGGAUUAGAUACCCUUGUAGUC